rnacentral:rRNA from 1 species
UACGGAGGGUGCGAGCGUUAAUCGGAAUUACUGGGCGUAAAGGGUGCGUAGGUGGUUUGGUAAGUUAUCUGUGAAAUCCCUGGGCUUAACCUGGGCAGGUCAGAUAAUACUGCUGGACUCGAGUAUGGGAGAGGGUAGUGGAAUUUCCGGGUGUAAGCGGUGAAAUGCGUAGAGAUCGGAAGGAACACCAGUGGCGAAGGCGGCUACCUGGCCUAAUACUGACCACUGAGGCACGAAAGCGUGGGGAGCAACAGGG